rnacentral:rRNA from 1 species
GACGAACGCUGGCGGCGUGCCUAAUACAUGCAAGUAGAACGCUGAAGGAGGAGCUUGCUUCUCUGGAUGAGUUGCGAACGGGUGAGUAACGCGUAGGUAACCUGCCUGGUAGCGGGGGAUAACUAUUGGAAACGAUAGCUAAUACCGCAUAAUAGUAGAUGUUGCAUGACAUUUGCUUAAAAGGUGCACUUGCAUCACUACCAGAUGGACCUGCGUUGUAUUAGCUAGUUGGUGAGGUAACGGCUCACCAAGGCAACGAUACAUAGCCGACCUGAGAGGGUGAUCGGCCACACUGGGACUGAGACACGGCCCAGACUCCUACGGGAGGCAGCAGUAGGGAAUCUUCGGCAAUGGACGGAAGUCUGACCGAGCAACGCCGCGUGAGUGAAGAAGGUUUUCGGAUCGUAAAGCUCUGUUGUAAGAGAAGAACGAGUGUGAGAGUGGAAAGUUCACACUGUGACGGUAUCUUACCAGAAAGGGACGGCUAACUACGUG